GACGAACGCUGGCGGCGUGCUUAACACAUGCAAGUCGAACGGAGUGGCGAACGGGUGAGUAACACGAGGGAGCUCUGCCUUGCACUUCGGAAUAAGCUUGGGAAACUGGGUCUAAUACCGGAUAGUGUGAGAUUACCGCGCGGGCUAUCGGCUUGUUGGUGGGGUAAUGGCCUACCAAGGCGGCGACGGGUAGCCGGCCUGAGAGGGUGUACGGCCACAUUGGGACUGAGAUACGGCCCAGACUCCUACGGGAGGCAGCAGUGGGGAAUAUUGCACAAUGGGCGGAAGCCUGAUGCAGCGACGCCGCGUGGGGGAUGAAGGCCUUCGGGUUGUAAACUCCUUUCGACAGGGACGCGGUACUUGUAUAAGAAGCACCGGCUAACUACGUGCCAGCAGCCGCGGUAAUAC
rnacentral:rRNA from 1 species